AAUUGAAUUACAAUGCUUUUUGAAAGACAUGGUGCAGAUCUUUAUAGCUUCACUCAUUCACUCGAUAUUUCAAUUUGUUGCAUCCUACUAUAAGCCUGAAUUGUUAUGACAUAGACACCAUCUUUUUAUGUGUAAUCUGUUAUGUAUUGUAUACUUUAACUGAUGUAUAUUACAAUUUUUCAAGGCUCUAAUCUUUUUUCUUCUAAUUUGAUUAUAUAAGCAGCCAACCAACAAUGACUUUUGCAAUUACUAUUGGUUUAUGCUCACUCCCUUACUUUUAUAGAUGAUUAUGAAUGGAUCUAAUAAUUAUUUAUGAAAUCGUUUUAAUCUCAGCUCACUUUCAUCUUAUUUUAGGUUUAAGCACUUUAGUUGUUUACUGACUCGGAAGGAGGGAGGGAGGGUUGAUUCAAGAAAAAGGCUGAGGUUUAAAAAUUGGAAGUUUUCUGCAACAGGGUUGUUUAGUUGUAGGUGGUAGGCUGAGCAAUUGGAGUGCACUAAAGAGGAAUUCUGAAUUUGAUGCCCUAUUAGUGAGGCGAGCGAAGCUCUUGUGAAAACGCAUUAAGUAGGUGGUGAUGCUUCAUGUGAGAUGCAACUUCUAGAAUCAAGGACCGAGAUGGAUGGAGAUGAUGGAAAAGGUUGGGAGACUGUUGAUUUUUUUAGAACGAAACUUUUAAAACUACUUUG